rnacentral:rRNA from 1 species
GAAUUGUUCGCAAUGGGCGCAAGCCUGACGACGCAACGCCGCGUGGAGGAUGAAGAUCUUCGGGUCGUAAACUCCUUUCGAUCGAGACGAACGGCCUCCGGGUGAACAAUCCGGGGGAGUGACGGUACCGGGCGAAGAAGCCCCGGCUCACUCCGGGCCAGCAGCCGCGGUAAUACGGGGGGGGCAAGCGUUGUUCGGAAUUACUGGGCGUAAAGGGCUCGUAGGCGGCCAACUAAGUCGGACGUGAAAUCCCUCGGCUUAACCGGGGAACUGCGUCCGAUACUGGAUGGCUUGAGACCGGGAGAGGGAUGCGGAAUUCCAGGUGUAGCGGUGAAAUGCGUAGAUAUCUGGAGGAACACCGGUGGCGAAGGCGGCAUCCUGGACCGACACUGACGCUGAGGAGCGAAAGCCAGGGGAGCAAGCGGG